rnacentral:rRNA from 1 species
AGGAUGAACGCUGGCGGCGUGCCUAACACAUGCAAGUCGAACGUCCUGUCUCGCAAGAGGCAGGGAGUGGCGGACGGGUGAGUACCACGUGGGUCAUCUACCGUGAGGUGAGGAAUACCGGCGAGAAAUCGCCGACAAGACCGCAUAGCCUCGGUGCAAGUUGAGCAAAGCUCUUUCGAGAGAGGGAGCGCCACACGAGGAGCCUGCGCCCGAUUAGCUAGCUGGUGGAGUAACGGUUCACCAGGGCGACGAUCGGUAGCUGGUCUGAGAGGACGAUCAGCCACACUGGGAUUGAGAACGGCCCAGACUCCUACGGGGGGCAGCAGUGAGGAAUUUUCGUCAAUGGGGGCAACCCUGAACGAGCAACGCCGCGUGCAGGAGAAGGUUUUCGGAUCGUAAACUGCUUUUUCUCGGGGAAGAGAACGGACGGUACCCGAGGAAUCAGCCCCGGCUAACUACGUGCCAGCAGCCGC